CGCGAAUGGCUCAUUAAAUCAGUUAUGGUUCAUUAGAUGAGUCCAAUCCUACUUGGAUAACUGUGGUAAUUCUAGAGCUAAUACAUGCUUGCAAGCUCCGACCUCUCGGGACGAGCGCCUUUAUUAGACCAAGACCAAUCGGGCCUCGGUCCGUUUCCUUUGGUGACUCUGAAUAACCUUUUGAAGAUCGCACGGUCUCGAACCGGCGACGCAUCUUUCAAAUGUCUGCCUUAUCAACUGUCGAUGGUAAGUUAUGUGCCUACCAUGGUUGUAACGGGUAACGGAGAAUCAGGGUUCGAUUCCGGAGAGGGAGCCUGAGAAACGGCUCCCACAUCCAAGGAAGGCAGCAGGCACGCAAAUUACCCACUCCCGGCACGGGGAGGUAGUGACGAAAAAUAACGAUGCGGGACUCUUCCGAGGCCCCGUAAUCGGAAUGAGUACACUUUAAAUCCUUUAACGAGGAUCAAUUGGAAGGCAAGUCUGGUGCCAGCAGCUGCGGUAAUUCCAGCUCCAAUAGCGUAUACUAAAGUUGUUGCGGCUAAAAAGCUCGUAGUUGGAUUUCAGUCGUAGGCCGGUGGUCCACCGCCCGGUGGCUACUGCCUGGUCCUAGGCACCUUGCCGGCUCUCCGGCGAUGCUCUUGACCGGGUGUCGUGGGUGGCCGGAACGUUUACUUUGAAAAAAUUAGAGUGCUCCAAGCAGGCGCUAUCGGCCUGAAUAACACAGCAUGGAAUAAUGGAACAGGACCUUGGUUCUGUUUUGUUGGUCUUUGGAAGCCAAGGUAAUGAUUAAUAGGGACGGACGGGGGCAUUCGUAUUGCGACGCUAGAGGUGAAAUUCUUGGACCGUCGCAAGACGAACUACUGCGAAAGCAUUUGCCAAGAACGUUUUCAUUAAUCAAGAACGAAAGUCAGAGGUUCGAAGGCGAUCAGAUACCGCCCUAGUUCUGACCAUAAACGAUGCCAACCAGCGAUCCGCCGGAGUUACUCCCAUGACUCGGCGGGCAGCUUCCGGGAAACCAAAGUGUUUGGGUUCCGGGGGAAGUAUGGUUGCAAAGCUGAAACUUAAAGGAAUUGACGGAAGGGCACCACCAGGAGUGGAGCCUGCGGCUUAAUUUGACUCAACACGGGACACCUCACCCGGCCCGGACACCGGAAGGAUUGACAGACUGAGAGCUCUUUCUUGAU
rnacentral:rRNA from 1 species